UUUUUACAAAAAGUCAUGACAAUGAGUGUUUACAAAAACUUAGAAACAGUUUAUUCAGUAAGUGUGAGGAAGUCGGCCAAUGUCUUAUAUGGUCAGGACCGUGUGAUCGACAUGGCUAUGGUUAUGUCAGAACCAUGUUAGAUGGCAAACGGGUAAAACUGUUAUGUCACCGACUAGCAUUUUACCUGUCAGAUCCAACAGUAAAGCUUGACAGACAAAUUCAUGUGUCACAUCGAUGCCAUAAUCGACUCUGCAUUAAAGUAUCACACCUUUCAUAUGAACCACAGUCAGUUAACAAUAAUAGAAAGUCAUGUCUUUCAUGUAAAGAAUGUUGUGGCCAUCGGAGCUAUGGGAGAUGUAUUUUUACCGAUUGAGGUCUUAGCCUGUACGGAAGUGUAUUUACAGUUGUAGUAUCCGGGUUUGCAUUUUCGGAAACAUAAAGAACGUCCCUUGCUUCAAUAGUGUUCAGUCGCUGCAGUCGGAGGUCUGGUGUGUCAGUCAUUUCAACAUUCAUAACAGGUGUGCUUCGUUACAGUUACAGACCGGUUGGGUUAUUUGGGGCGCCACGACUUGUUUUGGGACUGCAAAAAAACUGUUUAUUGCCACCUUAAGAACAAAUUAUGGCCUCGUCAUUUUUUACAAAAAGUCAUGACAAUGAGUGUUUACAAAAACUUAGAAACAGUUUAUUCAGUAAGUGUGAGGAAGUCGGCCAAUGUCUUAUAUGGUCAGGACCGUGUGAUCGACAUGGCUAUGGUUAUGUCAGAACCAUGUUAGAUGGCAAACGGGUAAAACUGUUAUGUCACCGACUAGCAUUUUACCUGUCAGAUCCAACAGUAAAGCUUGACAGACAAAUUCAUGUGUCACAUCGAUGCCAUAAUCGACUCUGCAUUAAAGUAUCACACCUUUCAUAUGAACCACAGUCAGUUAACAAUAAUAGAAAGUCAUGUCUUUCAUGUAAAGAAUGUUGUGGCCAUCGGAGCUAUGGGAGAUGUAUUUUUACCGAUUGAGGUCUUAGCCUGUACGGAAGUGUAUUUACAGUUGUAGUAUCCGGGUUUGCAUUUUCGGAAACAUAAAGAACGUCCCUUGCUUCAAUAGUGUUCAGUCGCUGCAGUCGGAGGUCUGGUGUGUCAGUCAUUUCAACAUUCAUAACAGGUGUGCUUCGUUACAGUUACAGACCGGUUGGGUUAUUUGGGGCGCCACGACUUGUUUUGGGACUGCAAAAAAACUGUUUAUUGCCACCUUAAGAUUGAGGUCUUAGCCUGUACGGAAGUGUAUUUACAGUUGUAGUAUCCGGGUUUGCAUUUUCGGAAACAUAAAGAACGUCCCUUGCUUCAAUAGUGUUCAGUCGCUGCAGUCGGAGGUCUGGUGUGUCAGUCAUUUCAACAUUCAUAACAGAUUGAGGUCUUAGCCUGUACGGAAGUGUAUUUACAGUUGUAGUAUCCGGGUUUGCAUUUUCGGAAACAUAAAGAACGUCCCUUGCUUCAAUAGUGUUCAGUCGCUGCAGUCGGAGGUCUGGUGUGUCAGUCAUUUCAACAUUCAUAACAGAUUGAGGUCUUAGCCUGUACGGAAGUGUAUUUACAGUUGUAGUAUCCGGGUUUGCAUUUUCGGAAACAUAAAGAACGUCCCUUGCUUCAAUAGUGUUCAGUCGCUGCAGUCGGAGGUCUGGUGUGUCAGUCAUUUCAACAUUCAUAACAGGUGUGCUUCGUUACAGUUACAGACCGGUUGGGUUAUUUGGGGCGCCACGACUUGUUUUGGGACUGCAAAAAAACUGUUUAUUGCCACCUUAAGAUUGAGGUCUUAGCCUGUACGGAAGUGUAUUUACAGUUGUAGUAUCCGGGUUUGCAUUUUCGGAAACAUAAAGAACGUCCCUUGCUUCAAUAGUGUUCAGUCGCUGCAGUCGGAGGUCUGGUGUGUCAGUCAUUUCAACAUUCAUAACAGAUUGAGGUCUUAGCCUGUACGGAAGUGUAUUUACAGUUGUAGUAUCCGGGUUUGCAUUUUCGGAAACAUAAAGAACGUCCCUUGCUUCAAUAGUGUUCAGUCGCUGCAGUCGGAGGUCUGGUGUGUCAGUCAUUUCAACAUUCAUAACAGACUUUCUAGUCAUACAGAAGGAAGAAUCAAGGGGUCACAGAUAUCCUGGAUAGGAUAUAGAAGAAAGGGAAACUUUCAAACAGGUACACUGUUAGUAGACAUUUAUGGCUAAAUCUUGCUUGGAAU
rnacentral:lncRNA from 1 species